rnacentral:rRNA from 1 species
UACGUAGGGUGCGAGCGUUGUCCGGAAUUACUGGGCGUAAAGAGCUCGUAGGUGGUUUGUCGCGUUGUCCGUGAAAACUCACAACUCAAUUGUGGGCGUGCGGGCGAUACGGGCAGACUGGAGUACUGCAGGGGGAGACUGGAAUUCCUGGUGUAGCGGUGGAAUGCGCAGAUAUCAGGAGGAACACCGGUGGCGAAGGCGG